rnacentral:tRNA from 1 species
GCCUUUGUAGCUCAGUGGUAGAGCGCUUCACUCGUAUACCGGUCAUGAAGAGGUCCGCGGUUCAAUCCCGCGUGGAGGCA